CCUGUAUUCCUCAUCUGUAAGAUACAAAUAAUGGUACCUACGCCCUAAGAGAUACCUCGUAGGUUUAAGGCAAAGGUUGAGAUAAAUAGGUAAAGGAUUUUUAAAAAUCCCUAGCCUAGGGUCGGGCGCCGCUCAGGCCUGUAAUCCCAGCACUUUGGGAGGCCGAGGCGGAGGCAGGCGGAUCACUUGAGGCCAGGAGUUCCAGACCAGCCUGGCGAACAUGGCGAACUCCCCUCUCUACCAAAAAUACAAAAAUUAGCCAGUCGUGGUGAGGCGCGCCUCUAAUUCCAGCUACUUGGGAGGCUGAGGCAGGAGAAUCGCUUGAACCCGGGAGGCGGAGGUUGCAGUGAACCAAGAUCACGUCACUGCACUCCAGCCUGGGAGACAGAGCGAGACUCCAUCUCAAAAUAAAUAAAUAAUUUUAAAAAUCCCUAAUAUGUAAGCUAUAAUUAUUAUUAGAUCCCUACAAUUGAAAUAAAAACUAAUAAGAUAUUUGUGAAGGGCAUUGCCAGUCAAAACAAUCAUUUAUGAAUUACUGGUAAUCUCAGGUUUCAUUUGUUUACCUGGUUUUGCUCCCAGCGUCCCGAGGUAAUUAACAGCAUGUAAAUGUACUGAGUCCCUGCUAUGUUGUCACUAAAAUAAGCAUGUUCAUACAAAUUAAUUAUCUUUACAUCUCUACCAUUCAGCCCUGGAAACCGCGACAGUAAAGUUAAUAUAAUUCUGGGCGGGGUAUGCAUAUGAGAGGAGUGGCAUAAACCAAUUUUUGCCUACGUAACAGUUUUAUCUAUGAUUGUUCCUGGAAACCGCAAUGAUUACUACAUGUAUUGUGGAAAUGCUGUGACUCCCUUCCCUUCAGCACAACCAAAAAUAUAAAGACGAAUUUCAAUUCUAAGCCCCGGGUUUUAGACGGUGGCCAGGAUUCCGCUACCGUUCUCACCUCCUCCGCAGAUAGCGAUUGGCGGCCGGAUGCAAUCAUUCAAAUGAAGCGCCGCCGUCUCAUUGGCCAGGGGAUGCUGCUCACCGAUUGGUCCCGUGACGAGGAGGGCGGUGCCCGGAGGUCCUCAUUGGUGGAGGCGGCAAGUUUAAACAGAGUCAAAACGCCAUACUUGUUUGGCUCCUCUUUUUAAUUUGCGAGCUUAUUGGGCUUGUUUUCUGUUUUCUAGGGUGUAGGUUAGUGGAAAAGAAAAAGGGCCGAAUUCAAUCCCACGACCUCUACAGCCGCCCCUGAGGGGAAGCGGUCAGCGUAAGUCCCGGAUCCCCGCUCCGGAGCCGCCUCGUGGGAGCGGGGCAAGGAGAUCCAGGAGGGGUCUCGAAUCUGCCAUGGCGAACCGGCGAGUGGGGCGAGGCUGCUGGGAAGUGAGCCCGACCGAGCGGAGGCCGCCCGCGGGGCUGCGGGGCCCCGCGGCCGAGGAGGAGGCGUCUUCCCCGCCGGUCCUGUCUCUCAGCCACUUCUGCAGGUCUCCUUUCCUUUGCUUCGGGGACGUUCUCCUGGGAGCCUCACGGACGCUGUCUCUGGCCCUAGACAACCCUAACGAGGAGGUGGCAGAAGUGAAGAUCUCCCACUUCCCGGCCGCGGACCUGGGCUUCAGCGUGUCGCAGCGCUGUUUCGUGUUGCAGCCUAAAGAGAAAAUUGUUAUUUCUGUUAACUGGACACCACUCAAAGAAGGCCGAGUAAGAGAGAUUAUGACAUUUCUUGUAAAUGAUGUUCUGAAACACCAAGCUAUAUUACUAGGAAAUGCAGAAGAGCAGAAAAAGAAAAAGAGGAGUCUUUGGGAUACCAUUAAAAAGAAGAAAAUUUCAGCCUCUACAAGUCACAACAGAAGGGUUUCAAAUAUUCAGAAUGUUAAUAAAACAUUUAGUGUUUCCCAAAAAGUUGACAGAGUUAGGAGCCCACUACAAGCUUGUGAAAACUUGGCUAUGAAUGAAGGCGGUCCCCCAACAGAAAACAAUUCUUUAAUACUUGAAGAAAAUAAAAUACCCAUAUCACCUAUUAGCCCUGCUUUCAAUGAAUACCAUGGUGCAACUUGCUUGCCACUCUCUGUACGUCGAUCUACUACCUACUCAUCUCUUCAUGCAUCAGAAAAUAGGGAACUAUUAAAUGUACACAGUGCCAACGUUUCAAAAGUUUCUUUUAAUGAGAAAGCUGUAACUGAAACUUCCUUUAAUUCCGUAAAUGUUAAUGGCCAAAGUGGAGAGAAUAGUAAACUUAGUCUUACCCCCAACUAUUCUUCAACUUUGAACAUUACACAAAGCCAAACACAUUUUCUAAGUCCAGAUUCUUUUGUAAAUAAUAGUCAUGGAGCUAAUAAUGAACUGGAAUUAGUAACAUGUCUUUCAUCAGAUAUGUUUAUGAAAGAUAAUUCAAAGCCUGUGCAUUUGGAAUCAACAAUUGCACAUGAAAUUUAUCAGAAAAUUUUAAGUCCAGAUUCUUUCAUAAAAGAUAAUUAUGGACUAAAUCAGGAUCUAGAAUCAGAGUCAGUUAAUCCUAUUUUAUCCCCUAAUCAAUUUUUAAAAGAUAACAUGGCAUAUAUGUGUACAUCUCAGCAAACAUGUAAAGUACCAUUAUCAAAUGAAAAUUCUCAAGUCCCACAGUCUCCUGAAGAUUGGAGAAAAAGUGAAGUUUCGCCACGUAUUCCUGAAUGUCAGGGUUCAAAAUCUCCCAAAGCUAUUUUUGAAGAACUAGUAGAAAUGAAGUCAAAUUACUACAGUUUUAUAAAACAAAAUAAUCCUAAAUUUUCUGCAGUUCAGGAUAUUUCUAGUCAUAGCCACAAUAAACAACCUAAGAGACGCCCAAUACUUUCUGCCACUGUUACUAAAAGGAAGGCCACCUGUACCAGAGAAAACCAAACUGAGAUUAAUAAACCAAAAGCAAAAAGAUGUCUCAACAGUGCAGUGGGUGAACAUGAAAAAGUAAUAAAUAAUCAAAAGGAAAAAGAAGAUUUUCAUUCUUAUCUUCCAAUUAUAGAUCCAAUAUUAAGUAAAUCUAAGAGUUAUAAAAACGAGGUAACACCCUCUUCGACAACAGCUUCAGUUGCUCGGAAAAGAAAGAGCGAUGGAAGCAUGGAAGAUGGAAAUGUGAGAGUUGCAAUUACAGAACAUACAGAAGUGCGAGAAAUCAAAAGAAUCCAUUUUUCUCCCUCAGAGCCUAAAACAUCAGCUGUUAAGAAAACAAAAAAUGUGAUAACACCCAUCUCAAAACGUAUUAGCAACAGAGAGAAAUUAAACCUGAAGAAGAAAACUGAUUUAUCAAUAUUCAGAACUCCAAUUUCUAAAACAAACAAAAGGACAAAACCCAUUAUCGCUGUGGCACAGUCCAGUUUGACCUUCAUAAAACCAUUAAAAACAGAUAUUCCGAGACACCCGAUGCCAUUUGCUGCAAAAAACAUGUUUUAUGAUGAACGCUGGAAGGAAAAGCAGGAACAGGGCUUCACUUGGUGGUUAAAUUUUAUAUUAACCCCUGAUGACUUCACUGUAAAAACAAAUAUUUCUGAAGUAAAUGCUGCUACUCUUCUUUUGGGAAUAGAGAAUCAACAUAAAAUAAGUGUUCCUAGAGCACCUACAAAAGAGGAAAUGUCUCUCAGAGCUUAUACUGCUCGGUGUAGGUUAAACAGACUACGUCGUGCAGCAUGCCGUUUGUUUACUUCUGAAAAAAUGGUUAAAGCUAUUAAAAAGCUUGAAAUUGAAAUUGAAGCUAGGCGGUUAAUUGUUCGAAAAGAUAGACACCUAUGGAAAGAUGUGGGAGAACGUCAGAAAGUCCUGAAUUGGCUGUUGUCCUACAAUCCUUUGUGGCUUCGAAUUGGUCUAGAGACAACUUAUGGAGAACUCAUAUCUUUGGAAGAUAACAGUGAUGUCACAGGGUUGGCUAUGUUUAUUCUGAAUCGCCUACUUUGGAAUCCUGAUAUAGCAGCUGAGUAUAGACACCCCAGUGUUCCUCACCUGUAUAGAGAUGGUCAUGAAGAAGUUUUGUCCAAGUUUACAUUGAAAAAGUUAUUGUUGUUGGUCUGUUUUCUUGAUUAUGCUAAAAUUUCCAGACUUAUUGAUCAUGAUCCUUGUCUCUUCUGUAAAGAUGCCGAAUUCAAGGCUAGUAAAGAAAUCCUUUUGGCUUUUUCACGAGAUUUCCUAAGUGGUGAAGGUGACCUUUCCCGUCACCUUGGCUUAUUGGGAUUACCUGUUAACCAUGUUCAGACACCAUUUGAUGAAUUUGAUUUUGCCGUUACAAAUCUUGCUGUAGACUUGCAAUGUGGAGUGCGCCUUGUGCGAACCAUGGAACUUCUCACACAGAACUGGGACCUCUCAAAGAAACUCAGGAUUCCGGCAAUAAGUCGUCUUCAAAAGAUGCACAAUGUUGACAUUGUUCUUCAAGUUCUUAAAUCACGAGGAAUUGAAUUAAGUGAUGAGCAUGGAAAUACAAUUCUAUCUAAGGAUAUUGUGGAUAGGCACAGAGAAAAAACUCUCAGGUUGCUUUGGAAAAUAGCAUUUGCUUUUCAGGUGGAUAUUUCCCUUAACUUAGAUCAAUUAAAGGAAGAAAUUGCCUUUCUAAAACACACAAAGAGUAUAAAGAAAACAAUAUCUCUACUAUCAUGCCAUUCUGAUGAUCUUAUUAAUAAGAAAAAAGGCAAAAGGGAUUGUGGUUCCUUUGAACAAUAUAGUGAAAACAUAAAGUUAUUGAUGGAUUGGGUAAAUGCUGUUUGUGCCUUCUAUAAUAAAAAGGUGGAGAAUUUUACAGUGUCUUUCUCAGACGGCCGUGUGUUAUGUUACCUGAUCCACCAUUACCAUCCUUGCUAUGUGCCAUUUGACGCUAUAUGUCAGCGUACUACUCAAACUGUGGAAUGUACGCAAACUGGUUCAGUGGUAUUAAAUUCAUCAUCUGAAUCUGAUGACAGUUCUCUGGAUAUGUCACUUAAAGCAUUUGAUCAUGAAAAUACUUCAGAGCUAUACAAAGAGCUCCUAGAAAAUGAAAAGAAAAAUUUUCACUUGGUUAGGUCUGCAGUUAGAGACCUUGGUGGAAUACCUGCUAUGAUUAAUCAUUCAGAUAUGUCAAAUACAAUUCCAGAUGAAAAGGUGGUUAUUACCUAUUUGUCAUUUCUUUGUGCAAGGCUUUUGGAUCUUCGUAAAGAAAUAAGAGCUGCUCGACUCAUACAAACAACAUGGAGAAAAUAUAAACUAAAAACAGAUCUCAAACGCCAUCAGGAGAGAGAGAAAGCUGCAAGAAUUAUUCAAUUGGCUGUAAUCAAUUUUCUAGCAAAACAAAGAUUGAGAAAAAGAGUUAAUGCAGCACUCGUCAUUCAGAAAUAUUGGCGAAGAGUCUUAGCACAGAGAAAAUUAUUAAUGUUAAAAAAGGAAAAGCUGGAAAAAGUUCAAAAUAAAGCAGCAUCACUUAUUCAGGGAUAUUGGAGAAGAUAUUCCACUAGACAAAGAUUUCUGAAAUUGAAAUAUUAUUCAAUCAUCCUGCAAUCUAGGAUAAGAAUGAUAAUUGCUGUUACAUCUUAUAAACGAUAUCUUUGGGCUACAGUUACAAUUCAGAGGCAUUGGCGUGCUUAUUUAAGAAGAAAACAAGAUCAACAAAGAUAUGAAAUGCUAAAAUCAUCAACUCUUAUAAUCCAAUCUAUGUUCAGAAAAUGGAAGCAACGUAAAAUGCAAUCACAAGUAAAAGCUACAGUAAUAUUGCAAAGAGCUUUUAGAGAAUGGCAUUUAAGAAAACAAGCUAAAGAACAAAAUUCUGCUAUUAUCAUACAAUCAUGGUAUAGAAUGCAUAAAGAAUUACGGAAAUAUAUUUAUAUUAGAUCUUGUGUUGUUAUCAUUCAGAAAAGAUUUCGGUGCUUUCAAGCCCAAAAGUUGUAUAAAAGAAAAAAAGAGUCCAUACUAACCAUCCAGAAGUACUACAAAGCAUAUCUGAAAGGAAAGAUUGAGCGCACCAACUAUUUGCAGAAACGAGCUGCAGCCAUUCAAUUACAAGCUGCUUUUAGGAGACUGAAAGCUCAUAAUUUAUAUAGACAAAUUAGAGCUGCUUGUGUUAUUCAGUCAUACUGGAGAAUGAGACAAGACAGAGUUCGAUUUUUAAACCUUAAGAAGACUAUUAUCAAAUUGCAGGCACAUGUAAGAAAACAUCAACAACGACAGAAAUAUAAGAAGAUGAAGAAAGCAGCUGUUAUAAUUCAGACUCAUUUCCGAGCUUAUAUUUUUGCCAUGAAAGUUCUAGCAUCUUACCAGAAAAUACGCUCUGCUGUCAUUGUGCUGCAGUCUGCAUAUAGAGGGAUGCAAGCCAGGAAAAUGUAUAUUCACAUCCUCACAUCUGUUAUAAAGAUUCAAUCAUAUUAUCGUGCUUAUGUUUCUAAAAAGGAAUUUUUGAGCCUAAAAAAUGCUACAAUAAAAUUGCAGUCAAUUGUUAAGAUGAAACAAACACGUAAACAAUAUUUGCAUUUAAGAGCAGCUGCACUAUUUAUCCAGCAAUGUUACCGUUCCAAAAAAAUAGCUGCACAAAAGAGAGAAGAGUAUAUGCAGAUGCGGGAAUCUUGUAUCAAACUGCAAGCAUUUGUUAGAGGAUACCUUGUCCGAAAGCAGAUGAGGUUACGAAGAAAAGCUGUUAUUUCACUACAGUCUUAUUUCAGAAUGAGAAAGGCUCAGCAGUAUUAUCUGAAAAUGUAUAAAGCAAUUAUUGUCAUUCAGAAUUACUAUCAUGCAUACAAAGCACAGGUCAAUCAGAGGAAGAACUUCUUGCAAGUCAAAAAAGCAGCUACUUGCUUGCAAGCAGCUUACAGAGGUUAUAAAGUACGCCAGCUAAUCAAACAACAAUCUAUAGCUGCUCUUAAAAUUCAGUCUGCUUUUAGAGGCUAUAAUAAAAGGGUAAAAUAUCAAUCUGUGCUUCAAUCUAUAAUAAAGAUUCAGAGAUGGUACAGGGCGUACAAGACUCUUCAUGAUACAAGAACACAUUUUUUGAAGACAAAGGCAGCUGUGAUUUCCCUCCAGUCUGCUUAUCGUGGCUGGAAGGUUCGGAAACAGAUUAGAAGGGAACAUCAAGCUGCCUUGAAGAUUCAGUCUGCUUUUAGAAUGGCCAAGGCCCAGAAACAGUUUAGAUUGUUUAAAACAGCAGCAUUAGUCAUCCAGCAAAAUUUCAGAGCAUGGACUGCAGGAAGGAAGCAACGUAUGGAGUAUAUUGAACUCCGUCAUGCGGUACUGAUGCUUCAAUCUAUGUGGAAGGGAAAAACACUGAGAAGACAGCUUCAAAGGCAACAUAAAUGUGCUAUCAUCAUACAGUCAUACUAUAGAAUGCAUGUGCAACAAAAGAAGUGGAAAAUCAUGAAAAAAGCUGCUCUUCUGAUUCAAAAGUAUUAUAGGGCUUACAGUAUUGGAAGAGAACAGAAUCAUUUAUAUUUGAAAACAAAAGCAGCUGUGGUAACUUUACAGUCAGCUUAUCGUGGUAUGAAAGUGAGAAAAAGAAUAAAGGAUUGCAACAAAGCAGCAGUCACUAUACAGUCUAAAUACAGAGCUUACAAAACCAAAAAGAAAUAUGCAACCUAUAGAGCUUCAGCUAUUAUAAUUCAGAGAUGGUAUCGAGGUAUUAAAAUUACAAACCAUCAGCAUAAGGAGUAUCUUAAUUUGAAGAAGACAGCAAUUAAAAUCCAAUCUGUUUAUAGAGGUAUUAGAGUUAGAAGACAUAUUCAACACAUGCACAGGGCAGCCACUUUUAUUAAAGCCAUGUUUAAAAUGCAUCAGUCAAGAAUAAGUUACCAUACAAUGAGAAAAGCAGCUAUUGUUAUUCAAGUAAGAUGUAGAGCAUAUUAUCAAGGUAAAAUGCAGCGUGAAAAGUACCUGACAAUUUUGAAAGCUGUUAAAGUCCUUCAGGCAAGUUUUAGAGGAGUAAGAGUUAGACGGACUCUUAGAAAGAUGCAGAUUGCAGCAACACUCAUUCAGUCAAACUACAGAAGAUACAGACAGCAAACAUAUUUUAAUAAGUUAAAGAAAAUAACAAAAACAGUACAGCAAAGAUACCGGGCAAUGAAAGAAAGAAACAUACAAUUUCAAAGGUAUAACAAACUGAGGCAUUCUGUAAUAUACAUUCAGGCUAUUUUUAGGGGAAAGAAAGCUAGAAGACAUUUAAAAAUGAUGCAUAUAGCCGCAACUCUCAUUCAGAGGAGAUUUAGAACUCUAAUGAUGAGAAGAAGAUUCCUCUCUCUCAAGAAAACUGCUAUUUUGAUUCAGAGAAAAUAUCGGGCACAUCUUUGUACAAAGCAUCACUUACAGUUCCUUCAGGUACAAAAUGCAGUUAUUAAAAUCCAGUCAUCAUACAGAAGAUGGAUGAUAAGGAAAAGGAUGCGAGAGAUGCACAGGGCUGCUACUUUCAUCCAGGCUACUUUCAGAAUGCACAGAUUACAUAUGAGAUAUCAGGCUUUGAAACAGGCCUCCGUUGUGAUCCAACAGCAAUACCAAGCAAAUAGAGCUGCAAAACUGCAGAGGCAGCAUUAUCUCAGACAAAGACACUCUGCUGUGAUCCUUCAGGCUGCAUUCAGGGGUAUGAAAACCAGAAGACAUUUGAAGAGUAUGCAUUCCUCUGCAACCCUUAUUCAGAGUAGGUUUAGAUCAUUACUGGUGAGGAGAAGAUUCAUUUCCCUCAAAAAAGCUACUAUUUUUGUUCAGAGGAAAUAUCGAGCCACCAUUUGUGCCAAACAUAAAUUGCACCAAUUCUUGCACUUAAGAAAGGCAGCCAUUACAAUACAGUCAUCUUACAGAAGACUGAUGGUAAAGAAGAAGUUACAAGAAAUGCAAAGGGCUGCAGUUCUCAUUCAGGCUACUUUCAGGAUGCACAGAACAUAUAUUACAUUUCAGACUUGGAAACAUGCUUCAAUUCUAAUUCAGCAACAUUAUCGAACAUAUAGAGCUGCAAAAUUGCGAAGAGAAAAUUAUAUCAGACAAUGGCAUUCUGCUGUGGUUAUUCAGGCUGCAUAUAAAGGAAUGAAAGCAAGACAACUUUUAAGGGAAAAACACAAAGCUUCUAUCAUAAUACAAAGCACCUACAGAAUGUAUAGGCAGUAUUGUUUCUACCAAAAGCUUCAGUGGGCUACAAAAAUCAUACAAGAAAAAUAUAGAGCAAAUAAAAAGAAACAGAAAGCAUUUCAACACAAUGAACUUAAGAAAGAGACUUGUGUUCAGGCAGGUUUUCAGGACAUGAACAUAAAAAAACAGAUUCAGGAACAGCACCAGGCUGCCAUUAUUAUUCAGAAGCAUUGUAAAGCCUUUAAAAUAAGGAAGCAUUAUCUCCACCUUAGAGCAACAGUAGUUUCUAUUCAAAGAAGAUACAGAAAACUAACUGCAGUGCGUACCCAAGCAGUUAUUUGUAUACAGUCUUAUUACAGAGGCUUUAAAGUACGGAAGGAUAUUCAAAAUAUGCACCGGGCUGCCACACUAAUUCAGUCAUUCUAUCGAAUGCACAGGGCCAAAGUUGAUUAUGAAACAAAGAAAACUGCAGUUGUGGUUAUACAGAAUUAUUAUAGGUUGUAUGUUAGAGUAAAAACAGAAAGAAAAAACUUUUUAGCAGUUCAGAAAUCUGUACGAACUAUUCAGGCUGCUUUUAGAGGCAUGAAAGUUAGACAAAAAUUGAAAAAUGUAUCAGAGGAAAAGAUGGCAGCCAUUGUUAACAAAUCUGCACUCUGCUGUUACAGAAGUAAAACUCAGUAUGAAGCUGUUCAAAGUGAAGGUGUUAUGAUUCAAGAGUGGUAUAAAGCUUCUGGCCUUGCUUGUUCACAGGAAGCAGAGUAUCAUUCUCAAAGUAGGGCUGCAGUAACAAUUCAAAAAGCUUUUUGUAGAAUGGUCACAAGAAAACUGGAAACACAGAAAUGUGCUGCCCUACGGAUUCAGUUCUUCCUUCAGAUGGCUGUGUAUCGGAGAAGAUUUGUUCAGCAGAAAAGAGCUGCUAUCACUUUACAGCAUUAUUUUAGGACGUGGCAAACCAGAAAACAGUUUUUACUAUAUAGAAAAGCAGCAGUGGUUUUACAAAAUCACUACAGAGCAUUUCUGUCUGCAAAACAUCAAAGACAAGUCUAUUUACAGAUCAGAAGCAGUGUUAUCAUUAUUCAAGCUAGAAGUAAAGGAUUUAUACAGAAACGGAAGUUUCAGGAAAUUAAAAAUAGCACCAUAAAAAUUCAGGCUAUGUGGAGGAGAUAUAGAGCCAAGAAAUAUUUAUGUAAAGUGAAAGCUGCCUGCAAGAUUCAAGCCUGGUAUAGAUGUUGGAGAGCACACAAAGAAUAUCUAGCUAUAUUAAAAGCUGUUAAAAUUAUUCAAGGUUGCUUCUAUACCAAACUAGAGAGAACACGAGACAUCGAGCUGCUUGUUUGAUCCAAGCACAUUAUAGAGGAUAUAAAGGAAGGCAGGUCUUUCUUCGGCAGAAGUCUGCUGCUUUGAUCAUACAAAAAUAUAUACGAGCCAGGGAGGCUGGAAAGCGUGAAAGGAUAAAAUAUAUUGAAUUUAAAAAAUCUACAGUUAUCCUACAAGCACUGGUGCGUGGUUGGCUAGUACGAAAAAGAAUUUUAGAACAGAGAGCCAAAAUUCGACUUCUUCACUUCACUGCAGCUGCAUAUUAUCACCUGAAUGCUGUUAGAAUUCAAAGAGCCUAUAAACUUUACCUGGCUGUGAAGAAUGCUAACAAGCAGGUUAAUUCAGUCAUCUGUAUUCAGAGAUGGUUUCGAGCAAGAUUACAAGAAAAGAGAUUUAUUCAGAAAUAUCAUAGCAUCAAAAAGAUUGAGCAUGAAGGUCAAGAAUGUCUGAGCCAGCGAAAUAGGGCUGCAUCAGUAAUACAGAAAGCAGUGCGCCAUUUUGUCCUCCGUAAAAAGCAGGAAAAAUUCACUAGUGGAAUCAUUAAAAUUCAGGCAUUGUGGAGAGGCUAUUCUUGGAGGAAGAAAAAUGAUUGUACAAAAAUUAAAGCUAUACGACUAAGUCUUCAAGUUGUUAAUAGGGAGAUUCGAGAAGAAAACAAACUCUACAAAAGAACUGCACUUGCACUUCAUUACCUUUUGACAUAUAAGCACCUUUCUGCCAUUCUUGAGGCCUUAAAACACCUAGAGGUAGUUACUAGAUUGUCUCCACUUUGUUGUGAGAACAUGGCCCAGAGUGGAGCAAUUUCUAAAAUAUUUGUUUUGAUCCGAAGUUGUAAUCGCAGUAUUCCUUGUAUGGAAGUCAUCAGAUAUGCUGUGCAAGUCUUGCUUAAUGUAUCUAAGUAUGAGAAAACUACUUCAGCAGUUUAUGAUGUAGAAAAUUGUAUAGAUAUACUAUUGGAGCUUUUGCAGAUAUACCGAGAAAAGCCUGGUAAUAAAGUUGCAGACAAAGGCGGAAGCAUUUUUACAAAAACUUGUUGUUUGUUGGCUAUUUUACUGAAGACAACAAAUAGAGCCUCUGAUGUACGAAGUAGGUCCAAAGUUGUUGACCGUAUUUACAGUCUCUACAAACUUACAGCUCAUAAACAUAAAAUGAAUACUGAAAGAAUACUUUACAAGCAAAAGAAGAAUUCUUCUAUAAGCAUUCCUUUUAUCCCAGAAACACCUGUAAGGACCAGAAUAGUUUCAAGACUUAAGCCAGAUUGGGUUUUGAGAAGAGAUAACAUGGAAGAAAUCACAAAUCCCCUGCAAGCUAUUCAAAUGGUGAUGGAUACGCUUGGCAUUCCUUAUUAGUAAAUGUAAACAUUUUCAGUAUGUAUAGUGUAAAGAAAUAUUAAAGCCAAUCAUGAGUACAUAAAGUGAUUUUUGCUCUCUGUGUACAACUUUUAAAAUCUGACUUUGUUUUAAAAAAACAUAAAUUGUUCAUUACAUUCUUCAUUUUUAUCAUUUAUAGUUUUAUGCAUGUAAUAAACUAAUAUGUCAUAAGAUGAU